UACGACCAUAUCACAUUGAAACGCCGGUUUUCGACUGAUCUCCGAAGUUAAGCAACGCCGAGUGUGGUCAGUGCUUAGACGGGUGACCUUUUGUGACUAUCAGAUGCUGUAAG